GUUUAUUUAGUUUAACUUAAAACACUUCAUUUUCAAUGAAGAGAUGAAAAUUAUUUCUAUAAAUA
rnacentral:tRNA from 1 species